UUGCGCUGUGUCAGAACUUUGGUUCAACCAGAGGCGUUGCAAAAAGUUAAUGUGCAGAAGAAACGUCGAGAGUUUUGAUGCGGCCGGCAUCCAUGCCGCUAAAGAGGAGCUUCAAGCUAAGCAUUGUAAUCGGUACAGGAGUACCUACCAAGGUACUGGCUUUUCGGAGUUCGCUGACAGGCACAGCAAUGGGUGGAUUGUUGGAGAAGGGAUGACGGGGCAUGGCUUUAUUGCCGCCAUUAAGGCACGAACGUCGCUGCUCCCCACGCGUAUGCUGACCCUUCGCGGUCGAGCUGAACCGGGAGACCAGCGCGUUCUAUGCCGACGAUGCGGCAGUAUUAGCGGAGCCACCGAAUCCCUAAUCCACAUCUCCCAGCGCUGUGCCUCCAGUCACGGCUUAAUGAUCAGAAGACAUGACCAUUGUCCGAAAGUUAGCCUCGCUAGCUGAGGCAGAAGGGUUCCAAUGCGUUAUUGAACCAAUUCUCAGGCAAGAUGACAUAACGCUAAAGCCUGAUCUGAUUUUAUCCAAGAAUUCAAAGACAUGGACACUUGAUGUGGCCAUACCUUGGGAAGGUAAUGAGCCCCUAAACAAAAGGCAUGCAGAAAAAUGUCGCAAAUACGCGAACCUUAGCGUGGCCGUUGAACGAUUCACAGGGACAAAGGAAUUUGAAUCGGAAGCGAUAGUUAUUGGCGCACGAGGCGCUCGGUGUGAACAAAAUGAGAAGACGCUCACAAAGAUGGAGUUCCCAAUCUCUGAUAAAAUGAAAGAGUUGUUGUGCCUAAUGACUCUCGAGGGCACCUGCCAAAUAAUUAGCUGGUUUAUGCGCAGCACAGAAUCGCUCGCAUUUCGCGGCUGUUCUGUGAGGCCAGCUGGUCUAAUGGGCAGGCCCAUGGAGUCCGAACGCACGCACUCUCGAAGGAAUAAAUCCUGAUUUGGAAUGCCACAGGGCUGGCCACCCAUGACUACGUGGUAACAGCCAAGGCGUCCACCGAACAAGACAGUGCCAGUUCACUCACCAAUGGGCCCGACUCGACCUAUGACGACAUAAUUGAGCAGCACCUAAACGCACUUAUGUGUUUAUGUUAUUGCUCUUGUUGGACGAACACUUGUUCGUUGAUUUUGUCAUUGAUGCGUCCCUUUCGUUUCCUUACUUAUCUUAUUUUGGCCUCGCAGUGCCACCAAGAUUUGAUUUAUUUUACUGCAAAUAAACUUCAAGUAGCCAAAUGCCUCGUCAUCUAAUUAGGCACGCGCAUAAAUGGAUCAACAAGAUUCCUACUGUCCCUAUCUACUGUUUAGCGAAACAACAGCCAAGGGAACGGGCUUCGCAAAAUCAGCGCGGAAAGAAGACCAUGUUGAGCUUGACUCUAGUCUGACUCUGUGAAGAGACAUUGAAGCUGUAGCACAGGUGGGAGGCCCGUGGCCGCUUGCGGUGCCGCGCCGACAGUCAAAUACCACUACUUCGAUCGUUUCGUUACUUAUUCGGUCAAGCGGAAGGAACGGUCGCUCGCGUGGCCGUCUCAUGGCCCGCGACGACUGCCACUUUUGGUGCAAAGCCGACGGGACGCGUGCCCCGCUGUCGGCGGCACAUCGAGCACCCGUAGCAACGCGAGGUGCCGUCCAGGGCGAUCCGCUCCGAAGACAGUGUCAGGCGGGGAGUUUGACUGGGGCGGUACAUCUGUUAAACGGUAACGCAGGUGUCCCAAGGUGAGCUCAGCGAGGACAGAAACCUCGCCUGGAGUAAACGGGCAAAAGCUCACUUGAUUUUGAUUUCCAGUACGAAUAGAGACCGCGAAAGCGUGGCCUAUCGAUCCUUUUGAUUUUGCGGAUUUCAUGUAAGAGGUGUCAGAAAAGUUACCACAGGGAUAAUUGGCUUCUGGCAGCCAAGCGCCCAUAGCGACGUUGCUUUUUGAUCCUUCGAUGUCGGCUCUUCCUAUGAUUGCGAAGCAGAAUUCGCCAAGCGUUGGAUUGUUCACCCACCAAUAGGGAACGUGAGCUGGGCUUAGACCGUCGUGAGACAGGUAAGUUUUGCCCUACUGAUCACUGAUCGUUGCUAUAGUAAUCCUGCUCAGUACGAGAGGAACCGCAGGAUCAGACAUUUGGUUCAUGCGCUUGGCUGAAAGGCCAGUGGCGCGAAGCUACCAUCUGAAAGAUAAUGACUGAACGCCUCUAAGUCAGAAUCUUGCCUAUCGACUGGCGACGAUACGUUGCGUCCGAGUUGUUGCAAGGUUGACGGUAGACCGGCGGUCGCCUUGCGCGGUCGACCGGUCUCCACUUGAAGCCGUGCUGCCACUUGUUG
rnacentral:rRNA from 1 species